ensembl:lncRNA
AUGGCUGACCUGCCUGGUUUCUAUGGUUUUGUGUCCUUAGCGGGUGCUGCUGCUGACUGUCCUGAAAUCCAUGCGUUGCAGCAAGAUGGGAGCGGAUGGAUUCGCCUCAGGGUCGAACGUGAAGCAGGAAUUCCGGCCAACUGCCAUGAAAUUCACACCUCUCAGAAAGAUGAGCGGGUGGAGCUGCCUCGCAAUCACAACUUGAAAAGCAAGUGUGAGGAUGUCAUGCUGUGGAUUUUCUCAGGCUUCUCCCUCCCAGAGUCCACCAUCAGCGCACUGACCUUGGAGGGCAGCGCCUUCAUUCCUGAAGGCCGACUAGAAAAACCCUUGCAGAUCCACAGCAGCAGCCCCUGGUACAGCUACAGGACCCCCACCCGCUGCACAGGUGGCGUGUCCUUGAUGCCCGAGCGGCUGCAGUAUUGACCCGAUACGGGGAGGACGUUCCUGAUGGACGUGUCGGGCCCAGAACCGCAUGGUGACCAGUGUGUUCCUUGGAAUAUCUCUCCUGCUGCAUUGUGGGCUUAUUGCUG